UACGUAGGGUGCGAGCGUUAAUCGGAAUUACUGGGCGUAAAGUGUGCGCAGGCGGCCGCGCAAGUCGAGUGUGAAAGCCCCGAGCUUAACUUGGGAAUUGCGCUUGUGACUGGCGUGCUGGAGUGUGGCAGAGGGAGGUGGAAUUCCACGUGUAGCAGUGAAAUGCGUAGAGAUGUGGAGGAACACCGAUGGCGAAGGCAGCCUCCUGGGCCAGCACUGACGCUCAUGCACGAAAGCGUGGGGAGCAAACAGG
rnacentral:rRNA from 1 species